AGCCUAAGCCUAAAAGCCUAAGCCUAGGAAUAAAACCAGAGGCUAAGCCUAAGCCUACACCUAAGCCUAAGCCUUAAUCUCAGCCUAAGCCUAAGCCUAAGCCUAAAAGCCUAAGCCUAAGCCUAAGGCUAAGCCUAAGCCUAAAAGCCUAAGCCUAGGAAUAAAACCAGAGGCUAAGCCUAAGCCUACACCU
ensembl:ncRNA Y105E8A.42 ncRNA